rnacentral:rRNA from 1 species
AUGGCUCAGGAUGCUGUCGCUCUUAAUGGACUGAAUUACGAGAGUCAUAUGCAGUUUAGGAUGUCCGUCGUACCGAUUCUUAUAUAUCGUCGUCAACAGAAAGAGGAACAGGAACAUGAAGGGGAAGAGGAACAGGAACAUGAAGGGGAAGAGGAACAGGAACAGGAACAUGAAGGAGAAGAGGAACAGGAACAGGAACCAGAGCCGGAACCGGAACCGGAACAGGCAAAUCCAAAUGACCCAAUUUCUGUUGUUCCGGGCAUAGUCACUGUCGCUGGUGAGACAUUUUGCCACAUCAUAGCAAAUAAGAGAUUGCUUUUUACCCGUCGUCGAGGCAGGUAUAGAUUUGAAAUUGCUUUCCCCAACAUGAACUUAGACCUUGACAACCUCAAUGUGGAAAGACAUGGCUUGUUGGCUGCUUUCUACUGCCCUGUUCCUGCUGGAACUGUAGAUGCCGUGCAUUUCAGCAAUCAAACUGCACAGAACCAAAAGCUCAAGAUGUAUGGAUACCAGAUUAGUGCAUCAGGACAAGUACAAAGGGAUCUAACUAAUGGCUAUCUGACUCACAUAGGGAACCGUGUGGGGCAAGAAUACAUCGGACAUGAUUGUACUCCUUCAAAGUUAUCGCUAAGUGGGUCACCCAUUUUUAAUGAGGAAAGACAGCUCGUUGGUAUAUCAUACGCGGAUUUUGGUAUAACCAAGGCCUUGAAUGUGGAGAAUAUAGCUUCCAUGCUUUCAGAGUUUUAUGAUGGAAUGGAGAACAGGCCUAUGUCAGAUAUCUUACAACGUAUCAGAGAUGUUGGUGAACAUCAAUUUGUUCAGCCUGCGGAUCAUAUGACUUGA